GAGAGGCUUGUGGCAUGGAAGCAAAGUAGUUAUGAGUUUGGCAUUAAAGAGAGAGAGAUGGCUGUGAUUUCCUAUGAGAAACAUGGGUUUAAGGUAAAAGGAGAAGGGUAUUUUGAGAAGAUCGUUGAAGAGAAAGAGAGAGAGAGAGAUGGGAAGAACAAAUGGGUGUGUUGAGUAAUUUUUCGGCAACCUAACAAAAGCUAUGUCAGACUCUGGAAUGGCUUGCCAGAAGAGGGAGAUGGAGGAAUAGGGUAUGAAAUUGCAGGGCUUUAGGGAUGAGAGAUAAUGCUUGCUCUCUGGAUGUGGGUUGUUGAGAUGAUGGGUAGGAAAUAGCCCUUUUUAUAGUCUCUAGAAGCUCCUCCUUCCCAAGAAACCCGAAUGGGUUCUCUCCAAUUUUGCCAAGUUUCCCCUUUCAUUUCUCUUCUCUCC
rnacentral:lncRNA from 1 species